UUAGUGUGUGCCCGACCUCCUCGCGCUGCGCUAGGGAAAGCUUUCCAGCAGUUACUGGCUGUAACUGAACUUAGAACCGUAUUAAAACAUGUACAGGCUACUGUGUAUUUAUUGUUCACGUGAGUUCACUGCAGGCGUGUGGUGUUUCGCUGUCUGAGAUGAGAAUAUUCAGAGCUAAAGAUUAGACAGCAAACUAAGCUAGCAGUAACGGACGUAGCUUCAUGCUGACUGGUGCUAAUUUGAUCUCGGUGGGAGCUCGGAGUUUAUUUUCCAUUUAGAUACAGAUCGCGCUAGCUAGGUCUCGUUUGCUGGCGAAAUGUGUAGCUAAACGCACCAGCAUCGCGAAAUGGAGAGCAGAAUACCGGUUGCGAUCAUUUUGAACUUUUUGCUAAUUAGGGUGAAGGAGUCGAGUAGUAGUUAAUAUGUAGUUGGUGAAAGUCGCUGUCAGGAUGCUACAGGUGCCCUACGGUUCUCUUGACCGUGAUAAACCUCUCAUCCGCCUGCCUUUCACCUUCUUCGCUGUUGUGACCGUCUGUCUGCCGUUGCUUGGACUCAUCACCUGCAUUACGGUUUCGCUUCUGUAUCACUAUAAUGAAGCCACCUAUACCCACUGUCAGGUCCACAACUACCUCCCAUCCAUCAGUGCGGCCAUUAGCCUCACACCAGAACGCUAUAUCUGGCGUUUCUGUAUCGGCCUACAUUCUGCCCCACGCUUCCUGGUGGCGGCAGCCUACUUCAGCUUCUACCGAGGGCGCUUUGGUAGGCAGCUCAUAGACCAGCUGCUGAGCAUCUUCACUCUCCUCUGUGCCCUGAGUGAAAAUGCAGGACUGCUGCUGCUCACCUAUGUCUGCUCGACUGAAACAUACAGUCUUCAUAAGAAUGGCUUUAUUGUGUUCAUUGGGAGCUCCCUGCUCCACAUGAUGUGCACCUGCAGGCUGUGGAAGGUGAUUACGAAGUAUACUGUUAGUGCUGAGGAGAUGACAUCGUACCGCUACAAGGUCCGCCUCUUCCUCUUCAACAUUGGCUUGUGUUUACUUGCUGGCUACUUCUUCAGGCGCCACAACAAGCAUUGUGAACCAGGAACUUCAUCACUGAACGCGAGGGCAUGAGGCCAAGAGAAAGACAGAGAGAGAAGAAACAAAGAAGGAACAGAGAGAAGUAACAGAAAGAACAAAGUUGUGCAGCACAGAGGGAAGUAGCCCAGAUAUUACAGAGGAGGAUUACUUCCCAUGGAACGCCACAACAUGCCGUGGUCACUGCCUGAGGAAAAGACAAGCUUUUCUUAGCUGCUAAGGCUGGAUUGUUUAUCAGUGACACAAGUUUGUUCUGUGUCCGGCUUCACUGGACUGAGGGCCUUUUGUCUCUAGUGCUCCAUACAUUCAGGAGCAAGUACAGCGAUGUAAAACCUUAUUGUGUCUAGGUUGAGCAACAUGUCUUAAGCAUACAAUAACUCAAAAUUCAGGAAAUAACAAUGGAAAUGCAUUAUAUAGAGCAGAUUCGCCCUUGCAUCUUCUUUGCAUGUACUUACAGAUAUUCUAAAUAUGUUAUGCAUUAUUUCCCUGAUAUUGCAUUUCACCUAAUAUUGGACUACAGGAGAAUCACCUUUGUAAAUACUUAUUGCAUUUGAUACCAUGACAUUUUGUGAUCAGCCAAAGUAAUCAAUUAAUUUGAGCAUGGUACCUCAGCAAUGUAGAUGAACAGUUGAACAAAACAACAGUAUAUGAAAAUAAGCCAAAGAAAACACUUCUAAAUAGCCAUUCUAUUUAAGUGGAAUUCUCUCUGUAUGAGUUUUAUUAUUUACUCCAUGCCUUGAAAUGUUAAACAGUGGUGUGCACAUUUUCUUCUAUACGCUGUUUCAAAGGGAAGAUAUUCAUCCGUUAAAUGUAGAGCCAGAGGCAGAUACAGAAUCUGAUGUAAUAUUAUCAGAUUCAGCUCAAACUAUUCAAUCAAAAUUCACAAACCAUGUUAGCAAGUUCUUAGGAUUUCUCACUGCUGCAAAUAAUGGCUACUGCAAGUCCUUAAGAGCUUUAUUUUGUCCGUCCACAGAGAGUACACUCAUUUUUAGAAAAAGCGUGUCACUUCAUUUGCUGAAAGGUUGAUUUGGAGAUGUGUUUGUAGCUUCAAAUUCACAGACACAGCUCAAGCAGUUAACAUUUGUCAGUAAUGAAACAUGCUUAAACACUGUAUUUAAAGAAGAGGUGGAUAACAUGGUUGAAAACAUAACAUCACAAAAGUUUACAUUUUCUUGAUACAUAACAUGCAUCAUGAUAUUUAGUUUUUCUGAAGUUUGAUGAAACAGCUACAGGAAAACACUAUCAAAGACUACAGUGAUUUUUAAGCGAGAUCUCACACUGCUCUAAACUGAAUUAAACAGGUCUAAUUAUGUACUCUUUUUAAUGAAACACACUGUUUUUCAUCAUUUUGAAGUACUGACAAUAUUGAUGAUAUCCUUGGGAAAAGCAUUAUGUGAUAUGAUUUCUAACUAUAAAUAUCAUCUCACUGCCCACACCUAAUGUAUACCAUUAAUUUUCAUAUAUA